rnacentral:rRNA from 1 species
AUGAUCGUCGCGGCUGCACACAAGAACAACUCUCUCCUCAACAUGCGCCUCAUCCGCUGCUUCCGCCGUUUCAUGGCUGACAUGGAGCUUAGGGAUUUGUAUCUUCAUGGUAGGCGGUACACCUGGGCUAGAGAGCGCGAGAACCCAACCUUGGUCAGGAUUGACAGGGUGUUAUGCACCACUAUUGGGAGUCCACCUUUCCUAGCUGCCUCAUGCGCUGCCUAUCUUUCGCUGCUUCAGACCACUUGCCUCUCAUGCUUGACUGCACCCCGCGCUCUCCAGGUGUACAUCGCUUUCACUUCGAGAAGUUUUGGCCUCAUAUGGCAGGCUUCAUGUAGGUGGUCUCCAAUGCCUGGUCCGCCACAUGCACCUCCUGACCCCGACCUGUUCAGCCGGAUCUUUGACUGGCUCCGCCUCACUGCCAGUCGUCUGCAAAGCUGGAGCGCCAAGUCCAUUGGCAACGUGUCCCUACAUCUCCUGGUCGCAUGCGAGCUCAUAGCGCGUCUCGACGUGGCCCAGGACAGCAGACCACUUACCAGCUAA